CCUACGGGAGGCAGCAGUGGGGAAUAUUGCACAAUGGGGGAAACACUGAUGCAGCAACGCCGCGUGGGUGAAGGAGCGUUUCGGCGCGUAAAGCCCUGUCAGCGGGGAAGAAGAAAGACGGUACCCGACCAAGAAGCCCCUGCUAACUACGUGCCAGCAGCCGCGGUAAUACGUAGGGGGCGCGCGUUAUCCGGAAUUACUGGGUGUAAAGGGAGCGUAGACGGCGAGGUAAGGCUGAAGUGGAAGCCCGCGGCCCAACCGCGGGACUGCUUUGGGAACUGUUUUGCUGGAGUAUGGGAGGGGUAAGCGGAAUUCGUGGUGUAGCGGUGAAAUGCGUAGAUAUCAGGAGGAACAUCGGUGGCGUAAGCGCCUUACUGGGCCGUAAUUGACGCUGAGGAACGAAAGCGAGGGUAGCAAAUGGGAUUAGAUACCCUGGUAGUC
rnacentral:rRNA from 1 species